GCUAACUCUUUCCCUCUGUUCUAUUUCUAGACUGACUCUCUAGUUUAAUAAAAUCUAGUUUCUUUGUUUUCCUGCAGGAUAAAUCUUUGAACAGUUUCAUUUCCUUUCUACAAAAUGUUACCUAAAAGGGCCUCGGCACGCCACAGGCCCUGAUAAAUACAACCAACAGCAAACAUUGUGUGCUGUGCGGAGGCUCUGAUCACGAUCAAAACAUAGACAUCAUGAGGACAGCUAGUGUGCUGAGACCAACUUAUCAUCCUAUUCUGAAAUAUGCACCUUAGAGAUAUGUGAAAUGAUUCGACCAUGGUGAUCUCCUGCUGUUCAAACAAUGGAUUGAACUUGAAGAAUAACACUGCUCUCAGAGAGACAGCGAGCUCAGACAGUCUUUUAAAUGACUGCGGGGACGUUUUCAGCACAGUGAGAGCUGUUUUUACUGUCCCAUGGGUGGUAACUGAGGUAAUAUACACAGACCACUGAGGUAUCUUAUCGUGCUUCUUUUAUAUAGCAUGCCAAUAAAGUUUGCAUAUAUAUAUAACAUGCAUGUGUGUGUGUUCUGCGGGGCAGUAUAAGUGAAUCUGCAUAGUCAGUGAUAAUAAUUGAUGUUAUAAUGACUUUUUCUACAAUGUCUGUAAACUAUCUGCCUCUUCCUCUUCUUCUUCUUCACCAAAAAAUGUCGACACUAACCCGUGGUGAGUCACUCAUGGCUGCCAUGAACAGUCUGCUCUUGUACAAACGUGCUCUCAUGCAAAUUGUGGUUGAUGAUGUAAAAAAUGCAAAUUUGGUGCAGCGGAGGCUGUGAGCUUGUUUGCUCUUUGCCCUUAAGCAAAUAAAGAUCAGGAAACUUCUCGAUCCUGAGGGGACGCUGGAUGCACAUCGACAAACUAGAUCCACCAUGUACAACGUUAAACUGAAGAUUUAAUAG